rnacentral:rRNA from 1 species
GAUGAACGCUGGCGGCGUGCCUAAUACAUGCAAGUCGAGCGAACAGACGAGAAGCUUGCUUCUCUGAUGUUAGCGGCGGACGGGUGAGUAACACGUAGGUAACCUACCUAUAAGACUGGGAUAACUUCGGGAAACCGGAGCUAAUACCGGAUAAUAUUUUGAACCGCAUGGUUCAAUAGUGAAAGACGGUUUUGCUAUAACUUAUAGAUGGAUCUGCGCUGCAUUAGCUAGUUGGUAAGGUAACGGCUUACCAAGGCAACGAUGCAUAGCCGACCUGAGAGGGUGAUCGGCCACACUGGAACUGAGACACGGUCCAGACUCCUACGGGAGGCAGCAGUAGGGAAUCUUCCGCAAUGGGCGAAAGCCUGACGGAGCAACGCCGCGUGAGUGAUGAAGGUCUUCGGAUCGUAAAACUCUGUUAUUAGGGAAGAACAGAUGUGUAAGUAACUGUGCACAUCUUGACGGUACCUAAUCAGAAAGCCACGGCUAACUACGUG